UGAAUUUUAAAGGGCCGCGGUAUUUCUGACCGUGCGAAGGUAGCAUAAUCAUUAGUCUUUUAAUUUGAGGCUCGUAUGAAUGGUCGGACGAGGGAUAAACUGUUUCCAGAUAAAAAACUCGAAUUUAACUUUUAAGUGAAAAGGCUUAAAUAUUUCAAAAAGACGAUAAGACCCUAUAAAUCUUAACAUUAAGUUUCAUGUAAUUCUAAUUCAUUAGUAUAAAGAAAUUCAUGAUGAAAGUGUUACGUUGGGGCAACGAAGAUAUAAAAAAAUUAACUGUUUCAUUACUUAAACAAAAAUUAUUGAACUACUAGAUCCUUUUUAAAGAUUUUAAGAUUAAGUUACUUUAGGGAUAACAGCGUCAUUCUUUUUGAGAGUUCCCAUCGAAAAAAGAGUUUGCGACCUCGAUGUUGAAUUAGAAAAUCU
rnacentral:rRNA from 1 species